GGGGAUGUACUGGUUUCGACAGGGGUCUUGCAGGUGGUGAAGCUAUCCGCAUGCAAUGCGUUAAAUGGCAAAUUAAAUAUAAACGCUAACAAUAAUUUAGCAUACGCUGCCUAGUUGCAGCUGUCUGGCUUAAGCGUCCUACAACUUAAGUUCAGGCAUCGACCUUGUAGGGAACAUUUAAGGUGAAGCUACUAGCCUUAAAUAGAUUUAGAAGCUACUGACAUAUAUCGGCUGUUAGUUUCCGAUAUGUGAAGGGAAUGGGGCAACCACAAUAACUGACUAUGAUAGUAGAAGAACAUUGAAUGGGCUUUUGGACACGGGUUCAACUCCCGUCAUCUCCAUUA
rnacentral:tmRNA from 1 species